GAUGAACGCUAGCGGCAGGCUUAAUACAUGCAAGUCGAGGGGCAGCGCGGGGUAGCAAUACUCUGGCGGCGACCGGCAAACGGGUGCGGAACACGUACAGAACCUUCCUUCGAGCGGGGAAUAGCCCAGAGAAAUUUGGAUUAAUACCCCAUAGUAUAGCGGAGUGGCAUCACUCUGUUAUUAAAGAUUUAUCACUUGAAGAUGGCUGUGCGGCUGAUUAGGUAGUUGGCGGGGUAACGGCCCACCAAGCCUGCGAUCAGUAACUGGUGUGAGAGCACGACCAGUCAAACGGGCACUGAGACACGGGCCCGACUCCUACGGGAGGCAGCAGUAAGGAAUAUUGGUCAAUGGACGAAAGUCUGAACCAGCCAUGCCGCGUGAAGGAUGAAGGUCCUCUGGAUUGUAAACUUCUUUUAUAUGGGACGAAAAAAGGGUCUUUCUAGAUCAACUGACGGUACCAUGUGAAUAAGCACCGGCUAACUCCGUGCCAGCCGCCGCCGUAAUAC
rnacentral:rRNA from 1 species